AGCUUUGUACAGUGGCAGUAUCGUAGCCAAUGAAGUUUAUCUGGGGCAUGAUUAUUGCUAAUUGAAAACUAUUUCUUGUGAAAAUAGAAUAUAGCUAUAUCACUGACACGGAUGCACAAGCUACUGCUUUAAAAUAAGUUUAUCAAUGCUAGUGUAGCAAUUUGGUCAUGUAAAUGCAUUUUUGCG
rnacentral:snRNA from 13 species